rnacentral:rRNA from 1 species
AGAGAUGUGUGAUGACGCAUAUCAAUAAGCGGAGGAAAAGAAACUAACAAGGAUUCCCUUAGUAACGGCGAGUGAAGCGGGAAGAGCUCAAAUUUGAAAUCUUCAAGGUUCUACCUUGACGAAUUGUAGUUUAUAGAAGUGUUUUCUGUUAGUGGAGUGGCAAAAGUUCUUUGGAAUAGGACAUCAUAGAGGGUGAGAAUCCCGUAUUUGGUCAUUCCUCCUAGCGUUGUGAUACACUUUCAGCGAGUCGGAUUGUUUGGGAAUGCAGUCCAAAAUGGGUGGUAAAUUUCAUCUAAGGCUAAAUAUUGGCGAGAGACCGGUAGCGAACAAGUACCGUGAGGGAAAGAUGAAAAGAACUUUGAAAAGAGAGUUAAACAGUACGUGAAAUUGUCAAAAGGGAAGCGUUUGACACCAGUGUUGUUUUUCCGAAAAUCAAUUACGAAUGUUUUAUUUUUGAGGAGUUAUGACUUCAUCGGCUUGCUCCUUUCUUUAUGAAACUUUCUUAAUGCACUUUUCGGUUAACAAGUCAACAUCAAUUUCUUUUGUUGUAAAAGAGUAUGAGGAAGGUGGCUAUUCUUUUCGGAGAAAGUGUUUAUAGCCCUUGUACCUUCUGCAAUCGGAGAGAUUGAGGUCUGCAGCGUAGAUCCUUCGGGGUUAGAUACAUUUGUGCUAAGUUAUAGCUUUUCAUAGACAACUUGUUGACUAUGAUUAGUCUUGUAGCUUACUCGCUUAUGCUAUUUUACCUACGCUUAGGAUGUUGAAGAUGUAGCACAUCAU